UAGAGUACCCGACCGGGGAAAAACUGGACAGUGCGUUAUCCACAAGCGCACGCUCUCGAAGGCAAGCAACGACUGUGGCUCGAUUAGCCCUAGUUUGGGUAUUUUUCUUUGUUUAAUCAGCGACUAAGGCUAAUCUUAAGUGUGCCAAGAAGCACUUGUGAAUGCAAUUGAUAGUGCAUGCGGUACGAAUAUUCAAAUGAUAUAAUAUAAAGAGAAUACAAGUAUUAUAAUAUUGUCACAUUUCUGGCUCAGCUUGGACCUUACUCAACUAAGCGCUGAGAAAAGCUGUUCAGAUAAAACUGGGCUGGGAAAUCUCGGAACGAUUCAUAUGUUGGACUAGGUCAGAGCGAAUAAUACGGUCUGGUUUUUCAGAUAUCUUAACAAAACUUGGCAUAGACAAGCUCGCCCCUCAAACGCCCGCCCUCACCAAGAUAUACAUAUAUACAAUAUUGGGCGGGGUCGACCCCCCGUUUAAGUUCAGGGUUAGUUCUAGGCAAGGGCCAUUAUUUAUAGCCGUGAUAAGAUAGGCGUAGCUAAAAACAUUUCGCUGAUUAACGAUUAUUUCGAUAUGGGAGCGUUAACUACAUAAACGUGCACUUGUAUAUACAGAUAAGUUAACAGUUAAAGCAUGCAAGUAGAUAAGUUAACAGCUAAUCCUAAGCUUAAUCGAAGUGCUGUAUCUGCGGUUAGUUCGCGAUUUUAACAGUCUACACAAGUUUGGCACAUUCCUAAGUUUCUCAAAUAGUAUGAUAAUGAAGAUGAUGAUAAUGAAGAAGAAGAUGAUGAUGAUAAUGGAACAAGCCAAGCAGGCUGCCCGUUAUUGAAGCUUUAACUGUACAUGCACAACUGUUACUUUGUGCGUUUAGAAAUAAAGUAAACAAAGUGCGACAAUCUGUAAAUACAAUAAAUGUACAUAUUUAAAUAGA